CAGCCACAGCAACAUGGCAUGUAGAAGUCCCCAGGCCAGGGAUCUAACCUGAGCCACAGCAGUGACAAUGCCAAAUCCUUAACCACUAGACCGCCAGGGAACUCCUGUCACUAGUCGUUUUGAUGAUAGCAAUUCUAGCAAGUGUGAGACUAUAUCUCGUUGUUUUCAUGUGCAUUUUCCUGAUGAUUAUGGUGCUGAGUACCUUUUUUGUAUUGCUGACCAUGCGUAAGUCUUUAGAAAAAUGUCUCUUCAGGUCCUUUGCCCAUUUUAAAAACCAGAUUAUUUCCUCUUUUGCUAUUGAGUUGUAUGAGUUCCUUAAAUAUUUUGGAUAUUAAUCACUUAUCAGAUAUUCGGUUUACAAAUAUUUUCUCCAGUCUUUAGUUGCCUUUUCACUUUGUUGAUCUGUACAGGUCCUGAAAUAUGAGUAGGAGCUUUUUUUCAGGCACAGACUGAAGGAGAGACAUACUUUGGGUGUCCUACUGUUUCUAUUAUAAAUCAUUAAUCAUAAUUUGCAAGUGAUAUUUCUAGUUUGAUAAAAUUAAGUGAAACAAAAAUGUAACAGUUUCAGUACACUAUUUGUUACUAGUGUUAUGAUCUGGUGAGUCAUAUAGAUAAUAAAUUAUUUUCUUUCUUUUUCUUUACUUCCCUUUUUUUUUUUUUUCUCUGCUUUUUAGGGCCAAGCCUUCAGCACAUGGAAGUUCCCAGGCUAGGGGUUGAAUUGGAGCUGCAGCUGCCAGCCACAACCAUAGCCACAGCAACAAAGGAUCUAAGCCGCUUUGGCAACCUACACCACAGCUCAAGGCAACACCAAAUCAUUAACCCCUGAGUGAGGCCAGGGAUCAAACCCAAAUCCUCAUGGAUACUAGUUAGGUUCAUUAUUACUGAGCCACAUCCAGAGCUCCUGGUAACAAAUUAUUUUCUUCUGAAGUAUCUUAUGGCUUCUUAAAUCCUGUGAAAGUUUUUCAAAGCCCUUUUGUCAGAAAGACAUAAAUAACUAGUUUAACAAGCAGUCUUCCCUCAAUACAGAAUAAACACAAAGCUUAUAUUUUUCUAAAUGACUUCAAUUCUUCUAUCCAAUCCCCCUGACUCAUCUCUUAAGGAUAUCCCAGUCAGAUCCCAGCUUUCGAAUCAUAUUCAGUUAUUUAAAUUACAGAUAUAACUGAAUCACUUUGCUCUACAGCAGAAAUUAACACAACAUUGUAAAUUAACUAUACCUCAAUUAAAAAAAAAUUCAGCCUCGUUUGACCUAUUUCUGCUCACUCAAGUGCCCCUCCUCCCCAAAGUUAGCCAGUUUGUGGCCUCUGGGAUUGAAAUGGAAAGUAAAGCUCUGUUCUUUUUUUCUUUGUCAGACAUCGUGCCAGACAAGUAUAGUAGGAUCUUCUUACUGCCAACUGUACUGUUUGUUUACAGAAGUCAAUAAACCCAUUAACAUUUUUAUUACCUACCGUUGUAUAUCAUCAACAUUUCAUAAUUAGAAGCAUGUGGUUGCCUCUUUAUAACUUUACAACACUGUUCACUUAAAUAUUUAUUGAUUACUCACUCUGUGUUAAAUACUGUUUUAUAGGUCAAACCAUAGCACAAGGGAAACAUUUGGUUUCAUUUGGCUGUAUUAUAUUUUUUAAGGUUCCCAGGCUAGGGGUUGAAUCGGAGCUGUAGCCACUGGCCUACGCCAGAGCCACAGCAACAUGGGAUCCAAGCCAUGUCUGCAACCUACACCACAGCUCACGGCAACGCCGGAUCGUUAACCCACUGAGGAAGGGCAGGGACCGAACCCGCAACCUCAUGGUUCCUAAUCGGAUUCGUUAACCACUGCGCCACGACAGGAACUCCAGGUCUGAAUUUCUUACCCAAUUCAUUUGUGGCAAAUGUAAGAAAAAUAUUUUUUGAUUUUUAGGGUCUUUGGGAUUUGAGAAAUUUGGUAAAGGACCUAGCAUUAACAACUAAGUUAUAUUACCUAUCCCAUAGUGGUCAGAAUCAUCUUUACUUUGGGAUCUAGAAUUUCAAACAGAAUUCAAAGGAACAUUUUUCAUGUAAAUUUUCCCUACCAGUUACUUGGCAGAAUUUAACACUUACUGAUAUUAUUUGACAUAACCAAUUUCAUUUCAUCUGCUUCACAAAAGGUCUUUUAAUUGAGUUUUCAUUUCAGAGUUCCCCAAAGACAUUUUAAAUCAUUAUGAAAUUUCUGCUAGCCCCUCGAUACAAAAGCUUUUGAUUCACACUUAGAUUUUAUCUUAUACCAUAAAAUUUCAAAAAUCAUAUAAAAGAUUCCUAAACCUUAGUCAUUCUGGUGCUGUAAUCUGAGAAACUUUGUCACAAAAAGUAUCAUUCAGAUUUUACUGCAGCUAACAUACAGUCCUUCAAAUAUCCAUGGCUUAAGCAAUAAAAGCCGAUGAGUAUGUACUUAGCUUAUAGAGAUGUAGUUUGGAAAAGACUUUUGGGAAAGCAAUUAGGCAUCAUGAAUCUAAUAUUAAACAUAUUUAUAGCCUUUGACACAGUAAUCUUGUUUUUGAAUAUAUCAUAAGGAAGAAAUUAGAAAUGAAAGUAAAGAUACAUGCACAAAUAUGUUCCUCAAAAAUGUUAAUUAUAAUAGCAAACAAUUGGGAAAAGCAAAAAGUUUACUGAAAUAGAAUGAUUCAAUAAAUUGUAAACAAAUUAGACAAAAAUAAAUCAAAAGACAUCCCGUUUAUAGAUUGUAAGAAUAAAUACUGUUAAAAUGUCCAUUCUAACCAAAGUAAGCUACAGAUUCAGUUUAGUCCCUAUCAAUGGCUACAACAAAUCAUCUUAAUGUACCCUUAAAGUAUCUUAUAAUUUUAUUUGUCUAUUAUAGUUCAAUAGAAAUUAAUUUUAAAAAUCUUUGCCAUGGGUUUAGUGGGGUGAGAAAAUGACACAAAAUCACAUGUACUGUAAUUAUAUUUUGUUUGUGUCAUUUAGGGAGACCUAAAUGGCUCUUUCAGACUCAGUACAUUGAAGUUGUUUAGUAAAAUAGAAAAAAAGCCUUAUAAUUCAAAAGGAACCAUAAAGGACACUAAAUUGCCAAAAUAAUCUUGAUAAUGAAGAAUUAAAGCUGGGGCCCCCACAUUUUCUGCUUUCAAAACCUAUUGCAAAGCUGCAGUAAUCAAAACAGUAUAGUUCUGGCAUAAAGACAGACAUGUAGACCAAUUGAACAGAAUAGAGAACCAAGAAAUAAACCCUUACAUAUACAUUAAAAUGAUCUUUGAUAGGAGAACCAAGACAUAUUUAGUACAAUGGGGAAAGGAUAGUCUCUUCAAUAAAUGAUGAUGGAAAAACUGGAUAUCCAAAUCCAAAAAAAUGAAAUUGGACCCUUAUAUCAAUCCAAAAAUAAACACGAAAUGGAUUAAAGUCUUAAACAUAAGACCUGAAACUAAAUUCAGAAUUCCUAUUGUGGCUCAGUGGUAAUGAACCCAACUAGUAUCCAUGAGGAUGCAGGUUCGAUCCCUGGCCCUGCUCAGUGGGUUAAGGAUCUGGUGUUGCCAUGAGCUGUGGUGUAGUUCACAGACACGACUCAGAUCUGGCAUUGCUGUGGCUGUGGUAUAGUCUGGCAGCUGCAGCUCCAAUUGAACCCCUAGCCUGGAAACUUUCACAUGCUGGGUGUAGCCCUAAAAAAGAAAGAAGGAAGGAAUGACGGAAGGAAGGAAGGAAGGAAGAAAAAGAAAAAGCUAAAUAAAAUUCCUGAAAUAAAAUUUAGGGGAAAUGGAGUUCUCUUGCAGUACAGAGGGUUAAAGAUUCGGAAUUAUCACUGCAGUGGCCUGAGGAACUUCCACAUGCCCCAAGCACAGCCAAAAAA
ensembl:lncRNA